UGGCUCAGUGGAUAGAGCGUCCGCCUGCAGACUGGAAGGUCCCAGGUUCGAUUCCUGG
rfam:Myotis brandtii contig323768, whole genome shotgun sequence.